GUGGUCACGUGUCAUCUACUGUGUGUCUACAGUCGAUACAGGCACUGAGAACUCAUGAGCAAUAUUCUCUUGUUUACAAGAUGGGAGGAGACUGUUAUUACCUCUCAGAAGAAAACGUUGGUGUCUGAUGACAGUAGACAAACGUUAGAGCGGGAGCAUGAUCCAUGGUAACAUGCAAAUGUAUGCAAAUGUUUCAAUAGGUUGUACAAGGUGAGAAGGCGGAUGAAAGUGAGACUCGUGCGUGUGCCUUUGGUGAGUCACGUGGUGUGUUCCCUUCCCAGUUGUUCCUCCAACUCUCGCUCGGUGACAUGACUUUUUUGAGAAGAAGUGCUUGCCACCCCUUAACUUUGACCUAUCCGACGAACCGGUCAACCCGUCCUUAUGAGCGCCUUUUAAAGUAUCAUUACCUGAGACGUGUUGCAUAGGCGUAGCGAAUCGAGCGAAGCUAGCCAAUCUAGCCGGAAGUGUAAAGAGCGCGCCCCUACAAGCUAGCGAACCUAGACCCCUAGCGUAGCAAAGCUAGCGGCCGCUGGAUGUCCUACGCUUGCUAUUCAAAAUGGCGGACAUUGUUGUCGGUUUCAAGUUUGCAGAUGAGAGUUUCUUUGAUGCUCCCGUGAAAAAGGAAUAUUGGACCGGAUACAAAGUGAAACGAAUGUGGGAAAUCAAUGGACCAAGGGGGCAGUACUUCUCCUCAUGGACACUUAUGCCAAGCAUAAAGAACAAUUUGCAAUUCCAACUUGAAAAAAAUGGAGCAAUAUGAAAAUAUGGUACAAAGCUAUAGUAGAUUUCAACAAGAAAACGGGCCCGGGAAGAUCACGAUGGAAUUUCUAUUCCAGAAUGUCUGAAAUCCCAUCAGUGACAUCAUCAUCACUGGGGGGUGUAAAAGUAAACACUCUGUCCGAGAUCUCCAAUAACCAGCAAUGUGCCACCCCUACAUAGGAGCAAGAACAGCAAGGAAUGUCUCAGUAUCGGUUAUUAGUACGACUCUGCUGAAUAAAGGAUAUAGUCACUGUCUUGAUUUUAGUA